UCCUUUGACCAGGCGGGGCAGUGUGCACAAGCCGGCCCCGCCCUUCUAUAAACACUGUCCCCUGCCUUUCAAAAGUCCCUUUCUCUGCCUGCUCUUUGACUCUGCUCCCAUCUGCUCACAGGUGUCCACAGAGGCAGAGGUUGGGGGGGGAGGUGCUUGAUCCCAGCCUCCCUGGGCUUGGGCUGCCUGCCUAUCCUCGGGGACCUGGCACUGGGGGUAGACCGCACAGCGGGAGUGCUUACUCCGUGACAUGUGGACUGUGGCGAGCCGGCGGUAGAGGGCCUUCUGCCGGGGGUCUGGGUGGAAGCCACUCUUGGUGAAGUAGACGUGGAUGUAGAUGGAGCCAUUCUGUUGGACACUCUGCAAGGCAAGCCAAUAGGGAAAAAAAGGACAUGCCGAACUCCCUCGUGGCACCUGGCCCAGGAGCUUCACCACCCCCAGGUUCCCAUUACCGAGUGCUUGGGUGGGCAGAGGGGCUGAGGGAUGGAGAGCAGACAGCUCAUAUCAGAGCUGCUCAGAUACGAGUCCCGGCUACAGCACAUCUGGGCUGUGGGACCCCCCAGGCUCCGCCUCGCUGGGCCUCGGGUCUGCCCUCACCAUGCAGAUAACCAGCACUGAACGCACAGCAGUGGAAAGAUUAUCUGAGGGCACCCAGCACUGCCACUUGGGCACACAGGAGGAGCUCAGUAACGCCAGCAGUUCUAACCCAGUCAACAGUAAAACAAUGAGCCCCAGACCCUGCUCCGGGAACCGCAGACGAUGCCGCAGCUGGGCCUCACAUGGAGAGAUUGUGUAACAUGUGGUGAAUAAGUGGAUCUGAACCCAGUCUGUGGGCUCCCGUGCAGUUCUGCCUCGCACCAUCUGUGUCCUCCGCGCUGCCUGUGCCUGUCUGUCACCUCCUGUCUCCCCAGGACGGGAACUACUCUCACUCCCACCUGUUACAGACGAGGAAACCCAAGAGGGCGGCCACUUGCCUGAGGCCCUGGGUUGGGGGGAUGGCCAAUGUGAGGCCUCCGUCUGAGCUCGAGGCACAACAGAUUGCCUCGGUCACACCGUGUCCCCCUCAUUUCCCUGCCUUUUAAACCCACCUUUGCAUUAAUCA